UUCCUUCUGAAUUUUGCACUUCAAGCUUUUCUCAAAGUACGGCGAUCGAUCAAAUGGAUCAAUACUUUCUGUAGAAAAAACUCAGUGAGAUUUGUUCGUAUGAGACGUUUAAAAGACAUGGAUAUGUCGCCAAAGACGCUCGAUCAUUGCACAGGUUUAUGGAAUAGUACUUUGUUCAGUUUGUUGCGACUUAUGCAAAUUCAACUCUUGUAUAAUGACUAAAAGUUGGUUUGUAGAGGGACAACUUAUACAAAAGAUAUGAAUACAUUAGCUUCAAACAGGGACAAGUUCAUGGACAAUGGACAUCCCUAAUAUAUGGACAUUGAUAUUUCACCAAUAUGUAAAUAUGACUAUUAAAUAUAUAAAAGGAUUGCUGUUGUAUUACUUGUAUAUGUAUAUGUACAAGUGUUGUGCUGUGGUAUCUAUGGACUAGAAUUUCUGAGGGGGUUGAAAAAGCCGUUUCUGAGGGGUUGUGUGCAUCGGCAUCCUUUGAUCUUUGCAUUUUUUCUGAGGGAUAAGGCAAAAAUUUCUUAAUUUCUGGGGGGGGGGGGUUGGUGUCGGCACUUUGAUCUUUUUUUCUUAGGGGUUCAAAUUUUAUUGAACUCGUCCAUAGGGGGUGUAUACAUU
rnacentral:lncRNA from 1 species